CAAGUUAUGACUUGUCAUAAUGAAUUCGUUGACAUCUGUUCGGUUUUCUCUACGCAAUAAUCUGUUGCGAUGAAACCAUGAGAGAGGGGAGAAGGUUAUUGACAACUUGUUUCCUUCGGAAAGGAAAAACCAUUUCCGGAAGAUGCAGGGAGGAGCUCGUUCUAUUUACGGAAUACCUCAAAGAUUAUCCUGUGGUUUUGAGUGCUGGCAACUUCUUUGAGUUGACGAGGAACAAUUUACUCAAUCAUUUAGGCGUGGUGGCGACAUAUUUGAUUAUAUUCACUCAAUUGAGUAAUUUCCAUGUUUAGUGGGUUCCUGUUACAUUUUUCCAUGUAAUAUAUUUAUGAGCACAAUUAAUAAAUUUAUCUGACUAACAGCA